rnacentral:rRNA from 1 species
CGUGUAGGUGGUUUGGUAAGUAGGGCGUGAAAGCUCCUGGCUCAACUGGGAGAGGCCGUUCUAAACUGCCGAACUAGAGGAUGGUAGAGGGAGGUGGAAUUCCGGGUGUAGCGGUGGAAUGCGCAGAUAUCCGGAGGAACACCAGUGGCGAAAGCGGCCUCCUGGACCAUUCCUGACACUCAGACGCGAAAGCUAGGGUAGCAAACGG